rnacentral:rRNA from 1 species
AGAGUUUGAUCCUGGCUCAGAUUGAACGCUGGCGGCAUGCUUUACACAUGCAAGUCGAACGGCAGCGGGAGCUUCGGCUUUGCUGGCGAGUGGCGAACGGGUGAGUAAUGCAUCGGAACGUGUCCAAUAAUGGGGGAUAACGAUUCGAAAGAGUCGCUAAUACCGCAUACGCCCUGAGGGGGAAAGCGGGGGAUCUUCGGACCUCAUGUUAAUGGAGCGGCCGAUGUCUGAUUAGCUAGUUGGUGGGGUAAAGGCCUACCAAGGCGACGAUCAGUAGCUGGUCUGAGAGGAUGAUCAGCCACACUGGGACUGAGACACGGCCCAGACUCCUACGGGAGGCAGCAGUGGGGAAUUUUGGACAAUGGGCGAAAGCCUGAUCCAGCCAUGCCGCGUGAGUGAAGAAGGCCUUCGGGUUGUAAAGCUCUUUCGUACGGAAAGAAAACUUACAUAUUAAUACUAUGUGAGGAUGACGGUACCUCCGUAAGAAG